rnacentral:lncRNA from 1 species
AAGCAAGAAUUAAGCAGAGAAGGCAAGCUCCUUUCUGUUCAUCUAACUCAAAGCUGACGAGUCAUUGAGCUGACUCCAAUCAGCAGGAUCCCCUGGUCGCCUGACUCAGGCCUCCCCAGUCAGAGGUAGAGUCUGCGGUGGACAGACAGACAGGUCUGGAGAGGCUGGUAAGUAAGAACUCCCCGAGUGCCUCCGCCAAGAACCGAUUUGAAGAGGUUGCCAUUCACUCUGUCAGGCUGCGUGUGGGAUUCAUCAGGACCCAGCCUCGCUUUCUUUCACCCCGCAUCAAUGUGCCCUAAAGGAUUUUU